rnacentral:rRNA from 1 species
UACGAAGGGGGCUAGCGUUGCUCGGAAUCACUGGGCGUAAAGGGUGCGUAGGCGGGUCUUUAAGUCAGAGGUGAAAUCCUGGAGCUCAACUCCAGAACUGCCUUUGAUACUGGCGAUCUCGAGUCCGGGAGAGGUGAGUGGAACUGCGAGUGUAGAGGUGAAAUUCGUAGAUAUUCGCAAGAACACCAGUGGCGAAGGCGGCUCACUGGCCCGGUACUGACGCUGAGGUGCGAAAGCGUGGGGAGCAAACAGG